rnacentral:lncRNA from 1 species
CAUGGGAUAUCAGCUGUAUCAUGAUGGAGCCUCAACUACCUCCUUAAAGACUUAAUUGAGAUAAUUAUACAAACGAAUGUGGUAACAAAAUUCGCCCUCGAAUGUGGAAAAGAUACGAUGGAUGACCUUUCGCUGACAACUUAUUUCAAUGAAAAAGAAAAAGAAAAAGAAAAACACAACUGGGGGCAUGGAAGAAUUUAAUUAACAGUCGUCGCAGAGGAGGGUUUGAGCGUGAUGCUGCUGCUGCGGGGGAAUACUGAGAUUAAGGGCCUACAUGGGGAGUUGGCUUACAUUAGGGCCUGAUUCCUCAAGUGGGCGGAGUCCAUCACUAUUAUAAAAAAGAAAUGUUUUUUAUUUUUAUUUUUUUAAAGAUUUUAUGAGGCAUUGGUUUAAUGGUUAACUUGAGGUUUUGAGAUGUUUGAGGCGUCAAGUUUGAGUCUCGCUAAGUAUAAAAUGAGUGAGUUUUUUUAGUUAAUUAUUCAGUUUUGAGUCUUAAUUUUUAUACUUAAUUUAAAAUCUUAAAUUUUGUAAUCUCAUUAAUUAGCUUAAAUACUUUAUUUUGAUUAAAAUAUUAUUUUUUAGGAAAUUGGUACAAAUUU